UCCGUAGGUGAACCUGCGGAAGGAUCAUUACAAAUCUCUGUCGGCUUGCCGACACAUAUGCACAAGGUCGCUGCCGAUCUUUUUAAGAGGUUGACUGGCGGCUUUGAUGUUUACGCUUGUAUGUUUGACAAAUAUGAUGACCCAUCUAAUUAUAGACAACUUUUAACAAUGGAUCUCUUGGCUCUUGCAUCGAUGAAGAACGCAGUAAAGUGCGAUAUGUAGUGCGAUUUGCAUGAAUCUGUGAGUCAUCUAAUUUUUGAACGCAACUUGCGCCUCCAUGAGGCAUGUCUGUUUGAGUGCCACAUACAUCUAUGCAGCAAUGCGACUUGACUUUUUCGCUUGAAUCAGUUUAAACAUAGCCAGAUCAGGCCGCUGUAAGGGUAGGCUCAAGUGCUAAGCAUUCUUGAUUACCUCCUAUCACAUAAGGUCACGCUCUCAAUUUACUUGUGAGCAAUUUUUGAUUUUGGCCUCAAAUCAGGCAAGACUACCCGCUGAACUUAAGCAUAUCAAUAAGCGGAGGAAGUCGACUGCCAAGGGGCACACAGGGGGGGAUA
rnacentral:rRNA from 1 species